GUAGGGAAUCUUGCGCAAUGGGCGAAAGCCUGACGCAGCAACGCCGCGUGGGUGACGAAGCUCCUUGGAGUGUAAAACCCUGUCAGUAGGGAAGAAACGGUCGCAGAGGAAAUGCUGCGGCCCUGACGGUACCUGCAGAGGAAGUUCCGGCUAACUCCGUGCCAGCAGCCGCGGUAACACGGGGGGAACGAGCGUUGUUCGGAUUUACUGGGCGUAAAGGGUGCGUAGGCGGGCCAGAUAGUCGGGUGUGAAAACUUACGGCUUAACCGUGAGCUGGCAUUCGAAACUGCUGGUCUUGAGUACGGGAGAGGGAAGCGGAAUUCCUGGUGUAGCGGUGAAAUGCGUAGAUAUCAGGAGGAACACCGGUGGCGAAGGCGGCUUCCUGGACCGAUACUGACGCUGAGGCACGAAGGCCGGGGGAGCAAACAGG
rnacentral:rRNA from 1 species